GGAUAAGUGCUGAAAGCAUCUAAGCAUGAAGCCCCCCUCAAGAUGAGAUUUCCCAACUUCGGUUAUAAGAUCCCUCAAAGAUGAUGAGGUUAAUAGGUUCGAGGUGGAAGCAUGGUGACAUGUGGAGCUGACGAAUACUAAUCGAUCGAAGACUUAAUCAAAA
rnacentral:rRNA from 1 species